rnacentral:rRNA from 1 species
CUCAGAACGAACGCUGGCGGCAAGCCUAACACAUGCAAGUCGAACGGACAAUUAUUUAUACCCUCUGGCUAUAGGAAAUUGUUAGUGGCAGACGGGUGAGUAAUGCGUAGGAAUCUACCUCGUAGUAAGGAAUAUCCAUUAGAAAUGGUGGGUAAUACUGUAUAAUCCCCGAGGGGGAAACAUUGAUCGCUAUUAGAUGAGCCUACGUUAGAAUAGCUAGUUGGUGAGGUAAUGGCUUACCAAGGCUAUGUUCUAUAGCUGGACUGAGAGCACGAUCAGCCACAGUAGAACUGAGAUACGGUCCAGACUCCUACGGGUGGAAGCAGUGGGGAAUAUUGGACAAUGGGCGAAAGUCUGAUCCAGCUAUUCCGGGUGAGUGAAGAAGGCCUUCGGGUUGUAAAACUUUUUCAAUAGGGAAGAUAAUGAUGGUACCUAUAGAAGAAGUCCCGGCAAACUCUUUGCCAGCAGCCGCGGUA